rnacentral:misc_RNA from 1 species
GCAAACUUGGUCAUUUAGAGGAAGUAAAAGUCGUAACAAGGUCUCCGUUGGUGAACCAGCGGAGGGAUCAUUACCGAGUUCAUGCCCAUCCGGGUAGAUCUCCCACCCUGCUUACCUUACUUUUGUUGCUUUGGCAGGCCGCUCCGGCGUGCGUGCACGGCGGACGGCUGGCCCUCCGAUGGAGGGCGGGCCUGCGCCUGCCAGAGGCCACAACCAAUCUGUUAUGCAACCUAUCGUCUGAGCAUAUACUAAAUAUAUCAAAACUUUCAACAAAGGAUCUCUUGGUUCCGGCAUCGAUGAAGAACGCAGC